GUCUACGGCCAUACCACCCUGAACACGCCCGAUCUCGUCUGAUCUCGGAAGCUAAGCUGGGUCGAGCCUGGUUAGUAUUUGGAUGGGAGAAAUGAUCUCUACACUGUCUGCUUUGGAAC
ensembl:rRNA 5S_rRNA 5S ribosomal RNA